GACGAACGCUGGCGGCGUGCUUAACACAUGCAAGUCGAACGGAAAGGCCCUGCUUUUGUGGGGUGCUCGAGUGGCGAACGGGUGAGUAACACGUGAGUAACCUGCCCUUGACUUUGGGAUAACUUCAGGAAACUGGGGCUAAUACCGGAUAGGAGCUCCUGCUGCAUGGUGGGGGUUGGAAAGUUUCGGCGGUUGGGGAUGGACUCGCGGCUUAUCAGCUUGUUGGUGGGGUAGUGGCUUACCAAGGCUUUGACGGGUAGCCGGCCUGAGAGGGUGACCGGCCACAUUGGGACUGAGAUACGGCCCAGACUCCUACGGGAGGCAGCAGUGGGGAAUAUUGCACAAUGGGCGGAAGCCUGAUGCAGCAACGCCGCGUGCGGGAUGACGGCCUUCGGGUUGUAAACCGCUUUCGCCUGUGACGAAGCGUGAGUGACGGUAAUGGGUAAAGAAGCACCGGCUAACUACGUGCCAGCAGCCGCGGUGAUACGUAGGGUGCGAGCGUUGUCCGGAUUUAUUGGGCGUAAGGGCUCGUAGGUGGUUGAUCGCGUCGGAAGUGUAAUCUUGGGGCUUAACCCUGAGCGUGCUUUCGAUACGGGUUGACUUGAGGAAGGUAGGGGAGAAUGGAAUUCCUGGUGGAGCGGUGGAAUGCGCAGAUAUCAGGAGGAACACCAGUGGCGAAGGCGGUUCUCUGGGCCUUUCCUGACGCUGAGGAGCGAAAGCGUGGGGAGCGAACAGGCUUAGAUACCCUGGUAGUCCACGCUGUAAACGGUGGGUACUAGGUGUGGGGUCCAUUCCACGGGUUCCGUGCCGUAGCUAACGCUUUAAGUACCCCGCCUGGGGAGUACGGCCGCAAGGCUAAAACUCAAAGGAAUUGACGGGGCCCCGCACAAGCGGCGGAGCAUGCGGAUUAAUUCGAUGCAACGCGUAGAACCUUACCUGGGUUUGACAUGGAUCGGGAGCGCUCAGAGAUGGGUGUGCCUCUUUUGGGGUCGGUUCACAGGUGGUGCAUGGCUGUCGUCAGCUCGUGUCGUGAGAUGUUGGGUUAAGUCCCGCAACGAGCGCAACCCUUGUUCACUGUUGCCAGCACGUUAUGGUGGGGACUCAGUGGAGACCGCCGGGGUCAACUCGGAGGAAGGUGGGGAUGACGUCAAGUCAUCAUGCCCCUUAUGUCCAGGGCUUCACGCAUGCUACAAUGGCUGGUACAGAGAGUGGCGAGCCUGUGAGGGUGAGCGAAUCUCGGAAAGCCGGUCUCAGUUCGGAUUGGGGUCUGCAACUCGACCUCAUGAAGUCGGAGUCGCUAGUAAUCGCAGAUCAGCAACGCUGCGGUGAAUACGUUCCCGGGGCU
rnacentral:rRNA from 1 species